GAUGAACGCUGGCGGCGUGCCUAAUACAUGCAAGUCGAGCGAACGGACGAGAAGCUUGCUUCUCUGAUGUUAGCGGCGGACGGGUGAGUAACACGUGGAUAACCUACCUAUAAGACUGGGAUAACUUCGGGAAACCGUAGCUAAUACCGGAUAAUAUUUUGAACCGCAUGGUUCAAAAGUGAAAGACGGUCUUGCUGUCACUUAUAGAUGGAUCCGCGCUGCAUUAGCUAGUUGGUAAGGUAACGGCUUACCAAGGCAACGAUGCAUAGCCGACCUGAGAGGGUGAUAGGCCACACUGGAACUGAGACACGGUCCAGACUCCUACGGGAGGCAGCAGUAGGGAAUCUUCCGCAAUGGGCGAAAGCCUGACGGAGCAACGCCGCGUGAGUUAUGAAGGUCUUCGGAUCGUAAAACUCUGUUAUUAGUGAAGAACAUAUGUGUAAGUAACUGUGCACAUCGUGACGGUACCUAAUCAGAAAGCCACGGCUAACUACGUG
rnacentral:rRNA from 1 species